rfam:Gossypium hirsutum cultivar TM-1 chromosome 10, whole genome shotgun sequence
UGUUAAAAAUUUCAUCUAUUUCUACAACUAAAAACUAUUGUGACUGAUGGAAUAAUCAAACAGUUAUAUGUGGUGCACCACUUGUACCUCAUGUUGAGGUAUAGAGACCAAUUUUUAAUAGUAGAAACGGAUGAAAUUCUUUACA